GGUGAACGCUGGCGGCGUGCCUAAGACAUGCAAGUCGAGCGGGCCGCGGGGUUUUACUCCGUGGUCAGCGGCGGACGGGUGAGUAACGCGUGGGUGACCUACCCGGAAGAGGGGGACAACCCGGGGAAACUCGGGCUAAUCCCCCAUGUGGACCCGCCCCUUGGGGUGUGUCCAAAGGGCUUUGCCCGCUUCCGGAUGGGCCCGCGUCCCAUCAGCUAGUUGGUGGGGUAAUGGCCCACCAAGGCGACGACGGGUAGCCGGCCUGAGAGGGUGGCCGGCCACAGGGGCACCGAGACACGGGCCACACUCCUACGGGAGGCAGCAGUUAGGAAUCUGCCGCAAUGGGCGCAAGCCUGACGGAGCGACGCCGCUUGGAGGAAGAAGCCCUACGGGGUGUAAACUCCUGAACCCGGGACGAAACCCCCGACGAGGGGACGGACGGUACCGGGGUAAUAGCGCCGGCCAACUCCGUG
rnacentral:rRNA from 1 species